rnacentral:rRNA from 1 species
AACGAACGCUGGCGGCAUGCCUAACACAUGCAAGUCGAACGAGACCUUCGGGUCUAGUGGCGCACGGGUGCGUAACGCGUGGGAACCUGCCCUUAGGUUCGGAAUAACUCCCCGAAAGGGGUGCUAAUACCGGAUAAUGUCUUCGGACCAAAGAUUUAUCGCCUUUGGAUGGGCCGGCGUUGGAUUAGCUAGUUGGUAGGGUAAAAGCCUACCAAGGCGACGAUCCAUAGCUGGUCUGAGAGGAUGAGCAGCCACACUGGGACGGGGACACGGCCCAGACUCCUACGGGAGGCGGCAGUGGGGGAUAUUGCACAAUCGGGGGAAGCCUGAUCCAGCAAUGCCGCGUGAGUGAUGAAGGCCUUAGGGUUGUAAAGCUCUUUUACCCGGGAUGAUAAUGACAGUACCGGGAGAAUAAGCUCCGGCUAACUCCGUG